AUGCUGUGAAGUAUCCUUCUCACUAUGGUUGGUUGCAUUAUGAUGUUUUCCUGUCAUUUCUAGUGUCAUUUUGUAUUUCAUAGCAGUCAUUUAUUAAAGAAGUUCUAUUGAUAGAACCUAAAACCAGCGUAUUAGAAUUCCCAUUGGACGGUCUUAUCGAGGAAGAUGUAUUUUACAUUUGAAUAUCAGCCGUGAUUCUUCUAAGUUGUUAUACAGUGAAAAUGACAUAAUGUUGAUUCAAAACAUGGCAAACAUUUUUUUCCUGUACUUUAUAUUCAGAUUAAAAAGUAAAUUUGUGCCUUCAAGUUUAUUGGGGCAUGUCCAAAAGACCAAAUUUGCUUGAAUUGUUCAGUUUCACUGGUAACCUGAACUAUGGAUUUUUAUAAAUAGAAUCUAGGCUGAUAGUGGCUAUAAAAGUGGUGUCAUAAGUUCAAUUUUUCACUUUCU
rnacentral:lncRNA from 1 species